rnacentral:lncRNA from 1 species
GUCUUCUCAGAGUUUGUUAGAGAAGAAAUAUUUGCCUAAGCUGCUCAUUUCCUGCAUGCCUCUAAAAGUUUCAACUUGGUGCAUGCCUCUAAAAGUUUCAACUUGGUCUAAGUUUUUGUUGCUCAUUUGCCACAUGCUUCUAAAACUUCUCAUAUUUUUUAAGCUUGAUUUGUUUAAGUUAUGUAAAAAUUAAAAGCUUGUCUUUUUAGCUGGGGAGUACGUCCGUGGCUUGAGCUCCUUCUCUUUGUUUUUACAGACUGUAUGCUUGAUUGGAGUUGUCGAAAAGUACAAGGAGUUAGCCAAAUACAACCUGAGGCAGCUCACUUCACCAAAAUAACCAACUCAUCUCAUUUUUUAAGCAGGGAAAGUGUGAGUGGGUAUGGCUAUUGUGGGCUAGCCAAAUACAACCUGAGGCAGCUCACUUCACCAAAAUAACCAACUCAUCUCAUUUUUUAAGCAGGGAAAGUGUGAGUGGGUAACUGGCUAUUGUGGGCCAGAUAAAUCUUUCAUGCUUCAAAAAUUAUUUAGAUCUACUUUCUGUUUUGAGGGGAAAAAAAACAGCAGGCUGCAAACAUCACCAGCUUAUGUGGACAGAUUCUUAAAUUUUAAUUUCAUGCCUAGAAAAUUGCUAACUGGUGAAAUUCUACAGAAUUUUUUCUCCAGUACUUUUUCAUUCAUGAGAUAUUGAAUGAAAAAUAUACUGAAGAAAAAUAAAAUUUUGAAUCAAAAUAAUAUAUAUUCCUUCUUGCAAUAGAAAUUCACAAUUAAACACAAGCAAAUUUGAUUUGGACAUCAAAUACAUAAAUUGACAUCAAACACAAGCAAAUUUAAUAAAGUUCCUUUUUCCUAUUCUUAACAUUGUAAGAUCUAUGAUCCUAUCAAUAAGCAAAUUUAUUGUUCUGUUUAUUACUUAGCAUGUUAAAUCAUAUCCUAAUUGAACAAAGAUUUCUCUGUCAAAUCGUGCUAUAAUCAUAUCAUGAGGACUGGACAGAGACAUGAUUUCCU